rnacentral:lncRNA from 1 species
AAGAUUCACCAUAAUCUUCCAAAAACUUAAUCAUAAGAUGAAUUCAAGACGUCAAUGCUCCAAAAAUAAAACUAGCGUUUCUGGAAAUAGUCCAAAGAUACUGCAGAAAGCUGCUAUUUAUAUCUUUAAAAUUCAAAAAUUUAAAAUUCAAACAUCAAAACUUUCCCACAACAGUUGACGACGAGGUUGACGGCUUGUCACUUAGUUGACAGCUCGUCAACCAAGUCGUCAACUUAGUUCUUCAGUUAAUUCUGUCUCUAGUUGACGAUGAAGUUGAUGACUUAUCACUUGGCUGACGACUUAUCAGUAUAGGCAUCAGUUGUCUCUUCUCACACUGCUUCAGAUUGACGACUAAGUUGACAACACGUCACUUAGCUGAUGGCUUAUCACCUCUAGUCACCAAAACAACUUUUUUUAUUCUUCUUCUUUGGUUUUCUCAGGUUUCCUGCAUUAUUAAACAAAAUACGAUUAAAAACAACACAAGUUGCCUAAGAACUUACAAUUAUUCCAAGUUAAAAAGCUUCAAAUGUGCUAGGGCGCUUGUGUCAUGUGACACUGAGUGUGCGGCUGCAUCAACAACAAUAGUAGCCUCAGUGGUAUCAUCAGGUUUCACCGGUUCACUUACAAUAGUAGUUGGUGGAGUGGAGUACUCCCCAACCGUCUCAGCAGUACCUGAAUCUUUGGGUAGUCCACUUGCGGAGGUCCCCACAGCUCUAGCCCGCAAUGCUUCUUCUCUUGGUUCAUCUGCUUCCUUUGCCUUUUUUCAUGCUUCUUUC